rnacentral:rRNA from 1 species
UACGUAGGUGGCAAGCGUUGUCCGGAUUUACUGGGUGUAAAGGGCGUGCAGCCGGGCUGACAAGUCAGAUGUGAAAUCCCGCGGCUCAACCGCGGAACUGCAUUUGAAACUGUCAGUCUUGAGUACCGGAGAGGUCAUCGGAAUUCCUUGUGUAGCGGUGAAAUGCGUAGAUAUAAGGAAGAACACCAGUGGCGAAGGCGGCUUACUGGACGGCAACUGACGCUGAGGCUCGAAAGCGUGGGGAGCAAACAGG